rnacentral:rRNA from 1 species
AAUGAACAUUGGCGGCGUGGAUUAGGCAUGCAAGUCGAGCGAGAAUUUGCGAUUGGAAGCUUCGGCCGAAGAAAGUGAAGGAAAGCGGCAAACGGCGUAGUAAGGCGUAGGUACGUACCCUCGGGUCGGGAAUAGCCAUGGGAAACUGUGGGUAAUGCCCGAUAAUCUCUGCGGAGCAAAGGUGUGAUUCCGCCGGAGGAGCGGCUUACGUGAUAUUAGCUAGUUGGUGGGGUAAUGGCCUACCAAGGCAACGAUGUCUAGGGGGUGUGAGAGCAUGGCCCCCACGACCGGAACUGAGACACUGUCCGGACACCUACGGGUGGCUGCAGUCGAGAAUCUUCCGCAAUGGGCGAAAGCCUGACGGAGCGACGCCGCGUGGUGGAUGAAGGCCCUUGGGUUGUAAACACCUGUCAGAGGGGAUGAAAUCAUGGUUGGCAAUCCUUCCAUGUUGACAGAGCCUCAGAGGAAGCACGGGCUAAGUACGUGCCAGCAG